rnacentral:rRNA from 1 species
GACGAACGCUGGCGGCGUGCUUAACACAUGCAAGUCGAACGGAAAGGCCCUGCUUUUGUGGGGUGCUCGAGUGGCGAACGGGUGAGUAACACGUGAGUAACCUGCCCUUGACUUUGGGAUAACUUCAGGAAACUAGGGCUAAUACCGGAUAGGAGCUCCUGCUGCAUGGUGGGGGUUGGAAAGUUUCGGCGGUUGGGGAUGGACUCGCGGCUUAUCAGCUUGUUGGUGGGGUAGUGGCUUACCAAGGCCUUGACGGGUAGCCGGCCUGAGAGGGUGACCGGCCACAUUGGGACUGAGAUACGGCCCAGACUCCUACGGGAGGCAGCAGUGGGGAAUAUUGCACAAUGGGCGGAAGCCUGAUGCAGCAACGCCGCGUGCGGGAUGACGGCCUUCGGGUUGUAAACCGCUUUCGCCUGUGACGAGGCGUGAGUGACGGUAAUGGGUAAAGAAGCACCGGCUAACUACGUG